GUUAAGAUCGCCUCAAACUAAUCCUUAAGCGAGGGAGAAAAAAACAGUUAAUAAAACCGAACGAAUCAUUAACGAAGUAGGUGUGAUUAAAAGCUUUAAAACUGUUUGAUUUCCGGAGGUAUCUAUCUGAGAGUAAAUACAUUAAUUCGAAGACAAUAUGAAGCUGUCAACUUUUCAUCUUGUCUAGUAAAACAAGGAAAUACUUAGAAACUCUUGCAUUUAGGAAUUAUGUAAAUUAAGAGAACGAAUACAUUGCACAAGG